rnacentral:rRNA from 1 species
CUGGGCUAGACAACGGUGGACCUCCCCAGAGAUGGGGCUUUCCCUUCGGGGACUGCCGGUUCAGGUGCUGCAUGGCUGUCGUCAGCUCGUGUCGUGAGAUGUUGGGUUAAGUCCCGCAACGAGCGCAACCCCCGCCUUUAGUUGCUACCGGGUCAAGCCGAGCACUCUAAAGGGACCGCCGGCGUUAAGCCGGAGGAAGGUGGGGAUGACGUCAAGUCCUCAUGGCCCUUAUGUCCAGGGCUACACACGUGCUACAAUGGGCGGUACAGAGGGUUGCCAACCCGCGAGGGGGAGCCAAUCCCAGAAAGCCGUCCUCAGUUCAGAUUGGAGUCUGCAACUCGACUCCAUGAAGGUGGAAUCGCUAGUAAUCGCGGAUCAGCAUGCCGCGGUGAAUACGUUCCC